rfam:Physcomitrella patens subsp. patens PHYPAscaffold_139 genomic scaffold, whole genome shotgun sequence.
UAAGAGGCUUUUAUAAAAGCUAUUUUUAGAUACCUUGAAAUAUUAU